rnacentral:rRNA from 1 species
GGACGAACGCUGGCGGCGUGCUUAACACAUGCACGUCGAACGGAAAGGCCCUGCUUUUGUGGGGUGCUCGAGUAGCGAACGGGUGAGUAACACGUGAGUAACCUGCCCUUGACUUUGGGAUAACUUCAGGAAACUGGGGCUAAUACCGGAUAGGAGCUCCUGCUGCAUGGUGGGGGUUGGAAAGUUUCGGCGGUUGGGGAUGGACUCGCGGCUUAUCAGCUUGUUGGUGGGGUAGUGGCUUACCAAGGCUUUGACGGGUAGCCGGCCUGAGAGGGUGACCGGCCACAUUGGGACUGAGAUACGGCCCAGACUCCUACGGGAGGCAGCAGUGGGGAAUAUUGCACAAUGGGCGGAAGCCUGAUGCAGCAACGCCGCGUGCGGGAUGACGGCCUUCGGGUUGUAAACCGCUUUCGCCUGUGACGAAGCGUGAGUGACGGUAAUGGGUAAAGAAGCACCGGCUAACUACGUG